UGGCGAACGGGUGAGUAACACGUGGGUAAUCUGCCCUGCACUCUGGGAUAAGCCUGGGAAACUGGGUCUAAUACUGGAUAUGACCUUUCUCCUUAUGGGGUUUGGUGGGAAGUUUUUCGGUGUAGGAUGAGCCCGCGGCCUAUCAGCUUGUUGGUGGGGUGAUGGCCUACCAAGGCGACGACGGGUAGCCGGCCUGAGAGGGUGAUCGGCCACAUUGGGACUGAGAUACGGCCCAG
rnacentral:rRNA from 1 species